rnacentral:misc_RNA from 1 species
GGAAGAGAAAUGUGUCGCAAGCCACAGUUAAUUCCAUGAAUAAACUUACCAAGAAAGGAGAAAAGAAAAGCAAUUAAAACUGAGUUGGAAGCUAAGCGAUUAAAACUGAGUUGGAAGCUAACUACCAAUGCUUAAUUCGAACGACUAUCAAUAAACGCUAAACAGUGCUUGAAUUGUUCACCUAAAAGAAGCAUGUGAUGUAACUAUCAAUAAGCUGUUCAUGAAUAAUUGCACGCAUGCUAGAAACAAAGAGGGGUGGGGAUGACCACACAAGACAGGCUUUAUCGUGGUAAUUGCACACAUCCUUGAUGUUUAACAGUUGGAUCUGUCUCAAGGGAAAGGAGCAUGUCUUGUCAGCUGAAAAUUUUCGAGUUGGGUCUAUCAUCCUGUGGCAUUUCAAAGCCCAAAUGCGCCUUUCGUGGGUAAUGCUGGGCACGACAGCUUAAAAGAUGCGGAGGACUGUGUGCAUGGCCUAUGCGAUAAAAAUUCGGUGGCUC